UACUUCUCUAGUUGCUGUGAGCAUCACUUGUAAAUCUCGCCUUGAAACAGCUGCGAUUGUAUCCGCCAGGUGCACACACACACACACACACGCUUAGUUUGCGCCGCGCCACACCUGAGCGGAGAGGGGAGAGCAAUAAAAAUCCGUUGCCUUAGCACAAUAAAGAAGAGAGCAUCGCCUUGCGGGACAUUGUGGCGGCACCGGCACACAAACAUAUAUAUAUAUAUACAUACGUAUACACGCCUUCAUAAAGCAUCGGGUGCCUGACGGUUCCCCUUGUGCUCACUCACACCGAAACUCAUCCUACACCGUGAUUGCAGUGCCGCUUGUACUCCACUGCACCGCACGGGGUGACGCGGCGUUUUUAGCAGUCGUCAUUGCCUUCUUGUACGCCGCUGCUCAGCUGCCCUGCUCUGAUGGCGUCAGAGAAAGCGGUUGAGUCGGCGAAGGGGUUUUGCGGGCCGGCGAUGUAUGCCGCCAGUGCCAUGCAUGCCCGCAUUACCCUCGCCGACGUUCCACCCAGCGCUGACGGACUUCGGCUCCUAGCCUCGAAUGGGAACUGGUCGGAAGUACUGGCGCUGGCUGAGCGGCUCGCAACAGAGGUAGCAGCCAAGGCCCGCCGUCACCCGUUCAAGUAUGCUUCGGUGCCUUGGAGUACGUCUCCACCGGAAUCCACGCUGCGAGUGAGUCCUGAGCACCCCCAGGAGGAGCCUUUGACCACGCAGUCGCCCCCCGAGACAGAUGUGACCGCCGCAGCCAGCUCAGCGUCGAGGUUCUCCACAGACGCUGCGGUGCGCAGUGCACGACUUCCCUACGUGCUGGUGCAGGUGACCGCUAAUCUGAAGAUGCGACGCAUCGCGGCUGCCAAGAAAGUCGUCGAUGCCCUAGGGGACAUUGAGGGGGAGGGGUUUCGCCACCCCGUCACGCGCGAGAGCUUCGCCCCAUUCUCGCUGCGGGUGGUGGCAGCCUUGCUACCGCUCUACGUCGGGGCGCCGAUGGAGGCGCAGAAGAAGCUGUAUGCGCUGCUGGAGGAGUGCCUCCGACACGAGCGUCAGUGCGGCGCGGCCAACAGUCAAGCGCGCAUCUCCGCUGCUGUCGGCGCUGACGCAGUGGAGCACUCAGCGGCCUCUGCGGCUCUGCAACGCACCUGGACACGACGGGUGUUGCGUGUGCAGCGUGCCCUGCUGCAUGUGCACAUUCACAUGAACCAGCAGUCUUUGGCGCACAGUCUGGCGGAACAGGUGCUGCGCUCCGAGGAGAUUUGGCACCACAAGUUCCAUGACCUUUCCGAUGAGCUCCAUCAGCUUCGCCACGCCCUUCACCUGCAGCAGCUCUUUUGCCUUGCCCUCCACAUCGGCGAUGCUUCGCGUGCACAUGCGACGCACGCUGCAAUCCAGAAGAUCGCCGCUGCCAACGGUGCAGACAGCAGCACAGAAGCGACGCCGUUGAAUGUGGUGUCCAACGCGAACCUCUGCAAACUAGUCGUGCUUUCCUGUGAUGCGUUCAUGGCGGUGUUCAGGGGCGAGUUCAGAGAGGCGGUUCGGCUCUUCCGCGACGUGAUUGACGCGGCUGCCGACAUGAAGCAGGCCUUGCGUGCCGCUGCGGAUGGUUCCGGCACGGAUGUGCAUUCUUCUCCGGUUUCUGACGGCUGCAUCAGCGAGGACGCGCUACGCCGUUGGGUGCUUCAGGACAUUUGUGCGAACGCGCAGGUGUCCCACGCAACGUGCCAGGCGUACUGCAGCGACGCUGACCCUACCAAGCUCAUGUCUAGCCUGUGCACGACGCUGGAGGGGUACGCCAAGGCGGAGCCGCACGUGCUUUGUAACUCCGACGCGUUUGUGGAGAGCCUCGUGCGGUUCUACACCCUCUCUGGUGAUCGCAAGGCCAAUCUGAACCGGCUGGCGGAUUUGUUGGAGGUGUUUCGCUGUGAUCGCAUGUCUCUGCCGAACCUCGAGGCACUUGUGUAAGAGAUGAUGCGUAAGCGCUCGAGGACUGCACAGGCUUUUAGCCAAGUGCCCCAUUGGCGCAACACGCGCUGGCUGCUUCUUUACCAGGGCGCGAGGCCGCGAUGGUGAGCGUCGUCUCUCUCUCUCUCAGCGUCUGCGAGACGUGGGUCGAGAGUGCUUCCUUUCUGCUACCGUUUAUUUUCUGUCGGUCGAGAGGCUUCUUCAAUACGCCACUGAUUAUCGUAGUGCUGCCGUGCGGUGUGCGAGUAUGUGCGUGAGGUGUCUUUGACCCCCCUCUCGCAUCUCUUCUUUCUUCACCUUCCCCCGCUGAUCAGCGCUCACGGCAUCGCUGUGGCUUCAAGCUCAUGUCUCUCUCGCGGUGCGGACUCUGCGCACGAUUUACUCUACGCUGCACACAUGCUCACAAACGCUGUCAUUGAUGACUGCUGAAAGGGCUGACAGGAUCUCGGUAACGCCCAGGACACGGCCACUGUGACUCGCUGCACGGUGCAAAGGACGCACCAUGCUCUAUCCCCUUCACUUCGCGUGAAAGCUUGCUCUCCGUGCCAGCCGUGCUCCGCCAACAUCCUGAACAGUGGCAUCAAGAGACAAACACGUGCAGCUAUUCUCUUGUUGCUCGUCUCAUCUCCUGCCUUCUUCCACCAG
rnacentral:misc_RNA from 1 species